rnacentral:rRNA from 1 species
UACCAGCACCCCGAGUGGUCGGGACGAUUAUUGGGCCUAAAGCGUCCGUAGCCGGUUUUACAAGUCCCCCGUUAAAUCCAACUGCUUAACAGAUGGGCCGCGGAGGAUACUAUAAGACUAGGAGGCAGGAGAGGCAAGCGGUACUCAGUGGGUAGGGGUAAAAUCCGUUGAUCCAUUGAAGACCACCAGUGGCGAAGGCGGCUUGCCAGAAUGCGCUCGACGGUGAGGGAUGAAAGCUGGGGGAGCAAACCGG